AUUGAACGCUGGCGGCAUGCCUUACACAUGCAAGUCGAACGGCAGCACGGGUGCUUUCACCUGCUGGCGAGUGGCGAACGAGUGAGUAAUACAUCUGAAUAUGUCCUGUAGUGGGCGAUAGUCCGGCGAAAGCCGCAUUGCUACCGCCUACGAUCAUCUUAUGACAGCGGGGUCCCUUCGGGCCUCCCGCUUUAGGGUUGCUCGAUGGCUGAUUAGCUAGUUGGUGGGGUAAAGGCCUACCAAGGCGACGAUCAGUAGCUGGUCUGAGAGGACGACCAGCCACACUGGGACUGAGACACGGCCCAGACUCCUACGGGAGGCAGCAGUAGGGAAUUUUGGACAAUGGGCGAAAGCCUGAUCCAGCAAUGCCGCGUGUGUGAAGAAGGCCUUCGGGUUGUAAAGCACUUUUGUCAGGGAAGAAAUACUUGGCUCUAAUACAGUCGGGGGAUGACGGUACCGGAAGAAUAAGCAACGGCUAACUACGUG
rnacentral:rRNA from 1 species